rnacentral:misc_RNA from 1 species
AAGUCGUAACAAGGUUUCCGUAGGUGAACCUGCGGAAGGAUCACUGGUAGAGAGAGAGUGGGUGGGGGGAGAAGUGGGGAGGUUUUUGGGGAAAGUGGGGAGGUGGAGAUGGAUAUGAGAUUGAUUUAAACGUCAUUUCAUUCCAUCACCAUUUCCUUCACCAUCUCUUUCACCACACACCCCACAUACAGCCCUCACCACAUUAUCACGCUUGUUUGUUUGACUGUACAUUGACACAAAAAAUCACAACUUUUAACAAUGGAUCUCUUGGCUCUU